GACGACCGCUGGCGGCGUGCUUAACACAUGCAAGUCGAACGGAGUGGCGAACGGGUGAGUAACACGUGGGUGAUCUGCCUUGCACUUCGGGAUAAGCUUGGGAAACUUGGUCUAAUACCGGAUAGUGCAAGAUGAGCUCGCGGCCUAUCAGCUUGUUGGUUGGGUAAUGGCCUACCAAUGCGUCGACGGGUAGCCGGCCUGAGAGGGUGUACGGCCACAUUGGGACUGAGAUACGGGCCAGUCUCCUACGGGAGGCAGCAGUGGGGAAUAUUGUACAAUGGGCGGAUGCUUGACGGAGCGACGCCGGGAGGGGGAAGAAGGAUUUUGGGUUGGAAACUCCGGUUGAUAGGGACGCGGUACUUGUAGAAGAAGCACCGGCUAACUACGUGCCAGCCGCCGCGGUAAUUC
rnacentral:rRNA from 1 species